rnacentral:lncRNA from 1 species
GAGAUAAAUUGGAAGACGUAUAAAGGAUGGAAUAUGCUUUGGUAACAACUCAAAUGACACUGGAUCGAAGCACAGGUAAGUAAAGAUACAAUUUGCCUUUCAAAAAUAUAAUGCUUCUGGGUGUUAUUUCCAAAGCAUAUUUCAAUUCGAUGUGAUUGAUUAAAAGUGUCAUAAACAGUAAUUUCCAUCAAUGUCGUGAAGCUAAUUAUUUCAAACUCCGAAACAGGUUACGUCCUCUUUACUACGCUACAUCACCACUGUUCGGAGUUGAAGUUAUUUGUGUACAAAACUGAAAUUUGUGUAUGAGAUUCUGAAAUGGCGAAUUACAAUACAUGAAUUUGUAAGGGCUUUAGUGUUCGUAACGGAAGUCAUACUUUAUAAAACAAGUAAAUAAGUCAUCAAAUAUACUACGAACGUUUUGCACGCCUAACGUGCGUUUCGCUCUACAAUAAAACUCUAUCAUAGAUACCAGGAUUAAUUUAGUUUUUACGCCAGACGCGGGUCUUCUCUACAAAAGACUCAUUAAAGACACUAGAAUCAAAAAAAGUUAAAAAAGCAAAUCAAGUACGACGUUGAAGAGCAUUGAUGACCAAAAGUUUUGCCGAAUACAAGCUAAGUAAUCUGUUUCCUGAGGUUAGAAAGCCUUAUUUUUUUUUAAAUUCAAAUUUUGUAAACAUUUAACUUGACCCAUCAGUAAAGGCAACAAAAAUGAAUGAAGCCCAAAGGAAGGACUAUUNNNNNNNNNNNNNNNNNNNNNNNNNGUCGAAGAUCAUUGACGACCAAAAUCUUGACUAAUCUUAUAAAAUGAUAAGUUAGGCAAAAACUACAUAUUGUUUUGUUGUUAUUUUAUUAUUAAUAGAAUAUAUCUCCAAUUUAUUUAUACUUAGAUAACUAUAAUUUCAUUGACAAACUUUUCAUCAGAUAUAUUGGUAGAUGAUACCAAUAAAAAGAUGACUAACUCCUCCAUUUUGAAAUGCAGUUUCUUAGUUAAUUUAUAACAUUCUAUCAAACUAAAAACAAUACACAAAAAAGAUCAAACGGAAAUUAACAAAAAAUUAUGCUUUUAACAAAAAAAAAAAAAAAAAACAAAAAAAAAAAAAAAAAAACACACACAAAAAAAGACGAAAAAAACAAAACAAAAUCAUAGUUUAACGCAUUUUGAUAUGAUUUAGCGAUAUUGUUCCCAGUAUGGAGGUGUAUGAGCUCAGCCAGAAAAUGCAGAUAUCAACAAAUAUCUUAAGUCCCUAACUGACAGUAAGUUUUUAUAUCUUCAUAUUUUCAAAUUGUUUUCUCUAAUUGUCUGUACUAGGAAACUUAUCUAAAAUAAACAUGCUAUAUAUUAGAAAACAUUAUUUUUUUUGCUUGUUUCGAUCGACUUUGUCAUCAUUUUCAGUAACUGCAUGUUUUCUAAUCGAUAUUUGUUGUUUUUUGCCUUUGUGCGUGUGCUUUAUUUAUUGCCCGUGCUACAUGUCUAUCAAAUGAAAACAUUAAUUUCCAACUGAUUACUAAAGUUUUUGUCUUAUGUUGUACUGUUACAUUACUGCUACAUGUAGGUUACAGGUGGAUUGCAUACUCAAAACACGUUUAACUCCUACACAUUCAGUGUGCCCAUGUCCUAGUGCCAAGCCUAUCAGUGAAAGGUUUACUGAUUUUCGUUGGUCGUAUUUGUUUUCCAAUUGUAUAGCUUUGAAUUCGCUUAUUUAGAAUUUAAUGCGUUUUUGGUAAUAUUUUCAAAUACGUUCACCAAAACGUUGUGAUUGAUUUAAAAUUUCUAAACAAUGGAAAUUCAACCAAUGCCGUGACGUUAUUUUCAUUUUGGUUUACGAACAAUGCAAUUACCCAUAGUCCUUAAGAUUCCGAAAAGGCGAAUACCCCAGCCUGCUUUCACUUUUUGUGAUCUUGAAUUUAAUGACAAUUUGUAAUGUCUAGGCCAUUAAUAUCAAACUAUAUGGCAUAGGUUUUUCUCAUUGUUGGAGACCAUACAAUUACAAAGAGUUGUUUAACAGAACAACCGAAUUAAGACUCUGUUUAAUAACCGUCCCAUUGGUAACCAUAUUAAUCAGUUAUCAAAGGUACUAGGAUUAUAAUUUAAUACUCCAGACGCGCGUUUCGUCAACAUAUGACUCAUCAAUGACGCUCAGAUCAAAACAUGUACAAAGUUGAAGAGCAUUUAGGACCCAAAAUUCCUAAAAUUUGUGCAAAAUACGGCCAAGGUAAUCUAUUAAAUCAUAUCAAAUAUUUAUACCAAUUGAUAUUUUAAACUGGAACCAUUCACCAAACAUAAUCAUGUAGGAAACUUGAAAUAGAGCAGAACGAUUGUCUUAAAAAUGUAAUAAAAUAAAAAAUAAAUAAAUGAAAUGUAAUAAAUAUAUUUCAUAGAGAUAAACAAUCCUGAAGACAUAAUUUUAUUGCACUUAUCAUCAUUUUGGAUUUUAGAGACAACUUGGCUGUGGAUUGGUGAAAGCAAUUUACCCGACAAGAAGACAUGGGAGUGGCAUAACCCACUUAAAGCGAUUACGUUUACAGACUGGCAAAGUAGUCAACCUAAUGCUUAUUCUACAGAAAAUUGUAUGCUAUACUAGAAAUCGAGUGAAGGUUACAAAUGGGACGACUACUAUUGUAAUAAGAAAUAUUGAUUUAUAUGUCAAAGGUACAUGUAAAACUAUUAACAAAGUUGAAAGACAAUUAUGUUUUAAGUGUAUUACUUUAAUAGAUAAAAAUGCUUUACGACUUUCAUUUUACUUUCUAUUUGAUAAAAUACGAUAUUAAAUUACCCUGAAAUCGAUAUAUAGGAGGAACCUAAUGCUAUAAUUACAUAAAUCAAUAGACAUUAAAGGGGCACUAGCUAUGAGAUUUAUAAAAAAUCUAAAGUAUGAUUUUUUUUUGUUCAAUCAUUAAUGAAAGUGAAAUAGUGAAAUAAUAAGUCACUUUUAGCAGCUAAAAUGGUUCAAUUUUGUCAAAUUCAGCUAAUAAAAAUUGAUAAUGAAUUAUUCACUUGCAAGUGAAUAACUCGACCUCAUUAAACCUGUGUUCAUGCGAACUCCAAUUUUACCCCGUAGAAAGAGAUAGAAUAACGCAUGAAUUGUCCGUGUACGGUUAUUUAAAGGAAAAGAAUGUCAACAUUGAAAGUGAAACAAAGGUAAAUAAUUUGAUUGACUGAUUCGAUCCACAAAAAAUCAUUUUUAUUUAGGAAAAAACGACGAUAAACAUAAUUGUUUACUCUAUAAUCCAAAAUUUAGUAGACAUAUAAAACUCUAACUGAACGAGUUGCUUAAUCUAUUUAUAUCUUUGUUUAUGUUUACAUCGCUUAUAUGGUCAUAGAAGGUCAACUCGAAAUUUAAUUAAAUGACGUCAUUGCUAAAAUUCACACGAAACGAAGCUAAAUCUUAUUGAGACCAUGGCCUGUAAAUUGUUUAUUUUAUGCUUUUAAUAGUUUGGAAAAAAUGGUUUACAUUGUUAUAAAUAAAACAUGAGAAUUUGCGUCAAAUUGGUGAACAUAAAUUUGACAGCUAGUGCCCCUUUAAGGAUAUACUAAGGUAAAAAAGAAAUCAUGAGAAACUUUAGAUAAGACGAACAUCAGUUUAGAACAAAAUAAACUUGAAACAAUGAUAGCUAUAUAUAGGUUAUGACAUUCCUUUUCGAGAUAUUCAUUGGUUGUCUUAAUGGCGGGAAUGGACUGACUCGGUAUUUUGGCCUUAUAUUUGCAUUUGUAGCAUUUGGGUCUCAAAACGAAGAAAAUAAAAAUGAAAUAAAAAAUUUGCGUUAAUUCAAAUAUAAAAAAGAACCCUUGUAAAAGUUAUUGAAGUCUUAUAUGAACAGAAAAAUGAGUGUUAUGGUGCAAAUAUGUACCCUGUUUUAAAGAAAAACAACCGAAAGAGUACGAACAUCUGAAACAAAUUCGUAACCUGACCUAAGUACAUUCCCAAUAUAAGUAAGAAGAUGUGGUAAGUUUGAAUAACUUUUAAAGCUUAAUCAGAUUUGGUCAUUUUCUAUGGUAGAGCUUUUAUCAUAAUUUGAUUUUCCAAUGUUAAAGAUGUUUGGGAUCUUGUUAGUUUACAGAGACAUGGUUUAACUCGAAAAUUUUUAUUUAGUAGGAACUUAUAUGAAUCGAAGAUUUAAUAUGUUUGCACAUAGUUAUUCACCAGUUUAGAAAAUAUGGAAAUGAAUUAACUAACAAAAAACCUUUAAUGUCUUUGUAGAAAGGACAGCAACUGCAAUGGCAAGAAGCCAACACAUAGCAACGAAUGUGAGGACAAGAACCAAAAAUGCAUGACAAUCUGUCUUUAAAUUAAAAGUCAUCAUUCAAAGAUAAUGUCUUCAGUCUCUUUACAUUUUGUUUUAUUU